rnacentral:lncRNA from 1 species
UUUAAAAAUACAAAAUAAUUCUCUUUAAGCGUAUGGCUGUUGUUUAUUUUUCGUUAAAAUUGUCAAGUCAAUAAUUUUCUUAUCUUUUGGAAGCAUCCGCGUGAAAAGUUUCCAAUAUUAAUCUAUAUGGAGCCAAAAAUUCCGUGGUGUUGGGAAUGGACGUACUGGUCGGAAUCCACUUUUUCAAAUAUUGACGUCAUAAAAAUUAAAGAAACCAAAUUACAAGUGAUCAACUGGACCACGGUCCGCUUCUUCCUAUCCACUCGACUACGAAAAUAUAGCCAGUUCUCAACCGUGCCAAAUUUCACAAUAACUUUUUUUUUAAUCAAUCGGCAUUUCCUGUAACUUAUGAGUUAGUCGUCGAUCUGUUGUUUUUUCUAAAUCGGGUUUUUCAAAAUACAGAAGUAAAUAUUUUAUUCCAAAAUAUUUGUUUUAUUUGCU